rnacentral:rRNA from 1 species
GCGCACCUUUCGGGGUGAGCGGCGGACGGGUUAGUAACGCGUGGGAAUAUACCCUUUGGUACGGAAUAGCCUCUGGAAACGGAGAGUAAUACCGUAUGAGCCCUUCGGGGGAAAGAUUUAUCGCCAAAGGAUUAGCCCGCGUUAGAUUAGGUAGUUGGUGGGGUAAUGGCCUACCAAGCCUACGAUCUAUAGCUGGUUUUAGAGGAUGAUCAGCAACACUGGGACUGAGACACGGCCCAGACUCCUACGGGAGGCAGCAGUGGGGAAUCUUGGACAAUGGGCGCAAGCCUGAUCCAGCCAUGCCGCGUGAGUGAUGAAGGCCUUAGGGUCGUAAAGCUCUUUCGCCUGUGAAGAUAAUGACGGUAGCAGGUAAAGAAACCCCGGCUAACUCCGUGCCAGCAGCCGCGGUAAUACGGAGGGGGUUAGCGUUGUUCGGAAUUACUGGGCGUAAAGCGCACGUAGGCGGACUGGAAAGUAUGGGGUGAAAUCCCAGGGCUCAACCCUGGAACUGCCUCAUAAACUAUCAGUCUAGAGUUCGAGAGAGGUGAGUGGAAUUCCGAGUGUAGAGGUGAAAUUCGUAGAUAUUCGGAGGAACACCAGUGGCGAAGGCGGCUCACUGGCUCGAUACUGACGCUGAGGUGCGAAAGUGUGGGGAGCAAACAGGAUUAGAUACCCUGGUAGUCCACACCGUAACGAUGAAUGCCAGUCGUCGGGUAGCAUGCUAUUCGGUGACACACCUAA